UACGGAGGGUGCUAGCGUUGUUCGGAAUUACUGGGCGUAAAGCGCGCGUAGGCGGCUUUGUAAGUUAGAGGUGAAAGCCCGGGGCUCAACCCCGGAACUGCCUUUGAGACUGCAUCGCUUGAAUCCGGGAGAGGUGAGUGGAAUUCCGAGUGUAGAGGUGAAAUUCGUAGAUAUUCGGAAGAACACCAGUGGCGAAGGCGGCUCACUGGACCGGCAUUGACGCUGAUGUGCGAAAGCGUGGGGAGCAAACAGG
rnacentral:rRNA from 1 species